AAUGAACGUUGGCGGCGUGGAUUAGGCAUGCAAGUCGAGCGAGAACCCCGCAAGGGGGGACAGCGGCAAACGGCGUAGUAAGGCGUAGGUACGUGCCCCCGGGUCUGGGAUAGCCAAGGGAAACUUUGGGUAAUACCGGAUACUCUCGAGAGAGCAAAGGUGUGACUCCGCCUGGGGAGUGGCUUACGUGGUAGUAGCUUGUUGGUGAGGUAACGGCUCACCAAGGCAACGAUGCCUAGGGGGGUGUGAGAGCACGACCCCCACGACUGGGACUGAGAUACUGCCCAGACACCUACGGGUGGCUGCAGUCGAGAAUCUUCGGCAAUGGGCGCAAGCCUGACCGAGCGACGCCGCGUGUGGGAUGAAGGCCCUUGGGUUGUAAACCACUGUCAGAGGGGAUGAAGUGCACGGGGGUACUCCCUCGUGUUUGACAUAGCCUCAGAGGAAGCACGGGCUAAGUUCGUGCCAGCCGCCGCGGUAA
rnacentral:rRNA from 1 species